AGGUGGAAAGACUAUCUCCCAUUUGGACAGUGGAGGCGUCGGACUCGUUUCAUUGCUUUCAAAGUUCCUUUAAAAAAGAAUGUUGAAAAGAAUCUUGCUCCAGAAGAAUGUUUUUCCCCCUUGGAUCUUGUUUAACAAACUCCAAGAACACAACAAAGAACUUUAGCUGAUUAUUGACUUAACAUAUACUCGCCGCUAUUAUAAGCCAGAGGUAAAUGGAACCCGUAAUUGAAAAUGACCUUCUUUCUGAUACUGUAAUAAUUCAUAGUAAUUCAGUAGUUAUCAACUUAUGCUAAGGUAAAUCCUGGCCUUAUUUCAUGGGUUCAAAAAGGGAAGCUAGUGGUUUCCUUAAAUACACAUUUGUAAUUGCUGUUUCAAAAUGAGAUUAAAGAUAUGAAUUGAACUAUAGUAUUUGGCAGUAGGCUCUAGAUAUGCUUAAGAAAUUCUAUAAGCUUCCAUGUUCUAUAUUUUGAAAAUGAAGUAAACUUUUAGUAAGAAUAGUAGUAGCCUAAAAGGAAAGAAAGGGUAUGUCCUUUAUGUCUUUAGCACUUAUUUUAAGCAGUUGCCUGAGCAUGUUUAAGCAUCGGGGUAAAAGACAAUUGUUCUCUAAGUUUUAUGCUUUCUUUUUCUAAUACCUUCUGAUAUAGUACAGAAACCCAUAUAUUCUCUUGGCCCAUAUAAGACAUACCAGUGCAAAGGAAUUAUCCUUCUUCUGACCUGUUCCAUGGCCUUGGGAGACAGUAACACCUAAUGUUUGUUAAUAUUUGUAUAGCAGUUUGCCAUUUAGAAAGUUCUUUCAUAUCCAUUGACUUUGUUAAUCUUCACAACAGUCCUUUGCUAUUGAAGUGGAAGUAGUACUGAUAUCUCCUACUGAGUGCUUGCUCUGCACUAAGCUCAGAGGAUAGGCAGCUACAAUUACUAUUUUUACGGACUAGGAAACUGACUCUCAGACAAGGAAGGAUUGAAAUUUCAACUCAGUUAUUCCUCUUUUUUUAUUGUGGUAAAAUAUACAUAAAUCAUAUUUCUUUUAACCAUUUAUAAAUAUGCAGUUCAGUGGCAUUAACUACAGUCACAGUGUUGUGUAACCAUCACCGCUGUCUAUAACCAAAACUUUUUCAUCCUCCUCAACAAAAACUCUUUAACCAUCAAACAGUAACAACCCUAUUAUCCCUCCCACCGGCCCUUAGAAACCUCUAUUCUAUUUUCUGCCUCUAUGAAUUUGCCUAUUCUAGGUACCUUGUUUAAGUGGAAUCUACAAUAUUUGUCCUUUUAUGUCUGGCUUAUUUCACUAAACCUAGUGUUUUCAAGGUUCAUCCAUGUUAUAACAUGUAACAAAAUGCCAUUCCUUUUUUGGCUUAAUAAAUCCCACUGUGUGUAUAUAC